GAUGAACGCUGGCGGCGUGCCUAAUACAUGCAAGUCGAGCGAAUGGAUUAAGAGCUUGCUCUUAUGAAGUUAGCGGCGGACGGGUGAGUAACACGUGGGUAACCUGCCCAUAAGACUGGGAUAACUCCGGGAAACCGGGGCUAAUACCGGAUAACAUCUUGAACCGCAUGGUUCGAAAUUGAAAGGCGGCUUCGGCUGUCACUUAUGGAUGGACCCGCGUCGCAUUAGCUAGUUGGUGAGGUAACGGCUCACCAAGGCAACGAUGCGUAGCCGACCUGAGAGGGUGAUCGGCCACACUGGGACUGCGACACGGCCCAGACUCCUACGGGAGGCAGCAGUAGGGAAUCUUCCGCAAUGGACGAAAGCCUGACGGAGCAACGCCGCGUGAGUGAUGAAGGCUUUCGGGUCGUAAAACUCUGUUGUUAGGGAAGAACAAGUGCUAGUUGAAUAAGCUGGCACCUUGACGGUACCUAACCAGAAAGCCACGGCUAACUACGUGCCAGCCGCCGCGGUAA
rnacentral:rRNA from 1 species